AACGCGAAGAACCUUACCUGGGCUCGAACGGCUUCCCAACGGCGGUAGAAAUACCGCUACUCCGCAAGGGGGUGGAGUCGAGGUGCUGCAUGGCUGUCGUCAGCUCGUGUCGUGAGAUGUUGGGUUAAGUCCCGCAACGAGCGCAACCCUUGUCCUGUGUUGCCAUGCCGAAAGGCGGAACUCGCAGGAGACCGCCAGCGAUAAGCUGGAGGAAGGUGGGGAUGACGUCAAGUCAUCAUGGCCUUUAUGUCCAGGGCUACACACGUGCUACAAUGGGCGGUACAAAGCGCAGCAAACCCGCGAGGGGGAGCCAAUCGCAAAAAACCGUUCUCAGUUCGGAUCGCAGGCUGCAACCCGCCUGCGUGAAGCUGGAAUCGCUAGUAAUGGCGUAUCAGAACGACGCCGUGAAUACGUUCCCGGGCCUUGUACACACCGCUAGUC
rnacentral:rRNA from 1 species